rnacentral:sRNA from 1 species
UGUUCCUAAUUUUUUUACCAUUAUAAGAAACACUGAAGUGAAUAUUCUUAUGUAUACAACUAUGAAAGCAUGUCCAUGUCAUUAUUUGCUGUUUAAAUUUUACCUGGGGCCAUUAUCUCUAGAUUUGCUUGAAAUGCUCAGCUUGACUCCCUAUCUUGAGACAAAACUACUAGAAAAAUGAAUUUGUAAAGCAAAUUAAUAUAUUUAACAUAGAGUUUCUUCAGCAAUAUGCUGUAAAGGCAGGGUGGUGGUGGUACACAGGUUGCACUGGAUUUUUUUUUAAUGGCACAUUUUUAAAACUACUGCUCAUUUUAUGCUUGAUAUAGAUUUGGCGUUUACCUUUUCCUAACAUAUAGGCAAGCAGUAGUUAUUGCUUUGUUGGUAAAAGUUGGCGUUAUUUCUGAAAAGCAUACGUGGGAAUGGCAAACUGUAGAAGCUGUGGCCACCGGACUCCAGGAUUUUAUUAUCUGUAUUGAGAUGUUCCUCGCUGCCAUUGCUCAUCAUUACACAUUCUCAUAUAAACCAUAUGUCCAAGAAGCAGAAGAGGGCUCAUGCUUUGAUUCCUUUCUUGCCAUGUGGGAUGUCUCAGAUAUUAGAGAUGAUAUUUCUGAACAAGUAAGGCAUGUUGGACGGACAGU